rnacentral:lncRNA from 1 species
AGGAAAUUGUGCCAUUCAACUACUAGUAAGUAUUCACAUUUUUUCUUGCAAAUACCAUGUAUAUUUUAUUUCUUUCUUCUUAAAACAAAUUGCGAAACAUCUGUUUUCUAUUCAUACAAGCCUCACUUAUACAUUUGCAUCUUACUAUUUGAAAUGAAAAUUUACGUGGUUUAUAAUGUAGAGUUAACAAAGCUGAUUUAUUCAUUAAAAAAUCAAAUCUUUUUAUUGCAAAAAGUUUGAAAUAGUUUAAAGGUCAAUCAAACAUUAGAAAAAUAUCUUUUAAACGCCAGCAUUACUGAUGUAAUAACAUUCAUUUCUGAAACACUUCUACCACGUCUAUAAAGAUUGAAUAACAUUGAAAAUAGAAAUGGGGAAUAUCUAAAAGAGCCAAAAACCCGACCAAAAAGCAGAUAAUGGACGAAGGCCGCCAAAAGCUCUUCAAUCAAACGAGAAAAUUCCACACCUGGAGGUGGUACUCAGCUGAGCCCUAAAUACAAAUGUGUACAAAUUCAGUUAAAUGGACGCCAGACUUAACUCCGAAAAUUAUAGAUGAACUAAAAUUAAAAACAAACAAGACCAACAAAGGCCAGAGGCUCCUGACUAGGGACAGGGGCAAAUGUCAAAUGCAAUUUAUGACAAAGCAUUGCAUUAAAAUUAUAAAAUGGAUAUAUGCUGGUGCACAAAUAAUGUUAUAAUUCUAUUUUUUCAGUAGGUAAGUAGCAAGUUCAAGUUAAAUUCAGAAAAGUAUUCAUAAUUUAAUUUGCAAUGUGAUACACGGAAUAGCUGUUAAAUAGAUACAAAUAUUCUUUUGAAAAUUACAAAUCUUUAUUUUGUAAUCAUUGGGUUAUGAUCAUGAGCAAAGGGAUUAUAGAAAAUCGACACCAUACUUGAAACAUAAAACCUUUCUUGUCAAGCAUAACUAUGAUGUCUAAAAGUUAAUGGCUAAAUACGUUUUUUCACUACAUGACAAAUACAUGUAUGGUGCUGUUCAAUUCGUCAAGCCAAUACAAAUGACUUAUUCAUCAAAACUACAUUUUUUAAAAAUUCAAAUACCAAAAGCUUGACAUUUAUUUAACACAUUUCGUAAUCCUUAAUACACCAUGUACACGUCAACAUUACUUUUUUCAAAAAAAAAUAAUAAUGAUUAACUAUAUAAUAGGGCGAUUAUGUUAAAACUUAAACAGCGAGGCAAUAUCUUCAAAAUUGUAUAUGGUUAGAUACAGAAAUGAAUUUACCUAUACAGAUCACAAGCCAACUUAUUGACUCAUCGGCUGAUGACCACAAGCAAAACGAACUGAAAUUGGACAAUACAUUUUUAAGCAUUACAAAUGUCCCUGCGAAGCAUACAUACAACUUAAAAAUCGUGAUGUUAAACGUCAUUGUUCGAUUAUGGUGCUCCUUUACAAUACACAUCAAUCCCUGUCCCAGUCGUCAUUUCAAGCCAACACAAAUGAUUGCUUUAGAAAAACAUCAUAAUGUUUUUAUUGCAUAUAUACAUUAUUUGAAGUUAAUUGAAGGCAUUGCGGAAUCUUUAUAACAAACAAGCAGAAACUGUUCUAUAAAGCUGUUAUGUCAAACAUUAAAUAAACAUUUUGGUAUUCGUGAUAUGGCAAUACACAAAAUUCAUCAAUAAAGGUGAAAAAACUAAUAUAACAAUUGUUUUUUUUCAGUGCGUAAGUAGAAAGUAAAAAGUUGAUUGAGAAAAUAUUUAUAAUUGCAAUUGCAAUACAAUACAUGGAAGAGCUGUAAAAUAAAGAAAUUGUUUUCCCUUUAGACGCUUCAUUCAUUAUCGUUUACUAUUUGGGCGUUGACGAAAAUUAACAUUGACACUUUAUUCGAACACAAAGCCUGUAUUGUCAAGCAUACAUCAUACCAAAAACUUUGAUGUCUAAAGUAUAUCGCCUAUUAUGGGUUCUCUCUACGUGCGUUGCUGUUUAAGGCGAUAAGGCAACACAAAUGACUGCUUCAUCAAAAUAUAAUACUUUUCAAUGCAAAUGUAAAUAGUAGGACAUUUAUUUAAGACAUUUUGUAACCCUAAUAACACAUCAACAUUACUAUUUCAAAAGAAAAUCUAUUUCCGGUAAAUUGUAAAAUAUGGCCAUAAUGGUAUAACUUAAACUGCGAGGCAAUACCUGUAAAAUUGUACGGAUGAAAAAUAUAAAUGUAUUCCACCUAUAAAGAUUUCACGCCUUCUUAUUGAUUCAUCGGCCGUUGAUUACAAUUAAAACGUACAUAAAACGGACACCAUAUUUGAAGCAUAACACAUGUCUUCGUCAAGCAUACAUAAUAUAUAUAGGAAGAUGUGAUGUAAGUGCCAAUGAGACAACUUUCCAUCCAAAUAACAAUUUAUAAAAGUAAACCAUUAUAGGUCAAUGUACGGCCUUCAACAAAGAGCCUUGGAUUACAAUGAAGUCUACAGUGUAUGACUCACUGUGAGUGUAGAGACAAACUCACAGUGAGUCAUACACUGUAGACUUCAUAGACGUUGCUAUUAUGUAUGCUUGAUAAGACUGGUUUUAUACUUCAAACACUACUCUGAAAAUUCCAAGUAAUGAACCAUGAAAUUUACCAAUUAAGAAAAUUAAUAAUGGUUACAAUUUGUGUGGUAACGUUCCAUUGAAUUGAUCAUCAUGCCAUACAAAAGAUGAAAAUUAACGCUAAAAUAAAGCAAUGAAACUUGGAAUGAUGGCCAUUAAUUAUGAGCCCUUAUUUUUUUUCAUAUAUAUAUCAAUGAGCAUGAAUUUACCAGAUAAUAACCAUUUAAUUUUAUCAUGGAAACUAAACAUGAUGGCCAUUUGAUUAUAACAUUAUGGCCUUGUACAGUUUAUCGGAAUUACAUUUUCUUUUGAAAUAGUAAUGUUGAUGUGUGAUACGGAUUACGAAAUGUAUUUAAUACCGGUAAAUGUAAUGCUUUUUCUAUUUGCAUUAAACUAUGGUGUUUAGAUGAAUCAGUUAUUUUAUAACGUUUGGACAGUGACAUACAUGUAUGUGUCAUGUAAAAAAAAACCUAUUGAGCCAUAUACUGUAGACAUCACAGUUGUUGCUCUUAUGUAUGUUUAACAAAACAGGUUUUAUGAUACAAAUAUGGUAUCAAUUUUCUGUUCGUUUUGCUCAUGGUCAACGUUCGAUGAGUAAAUAAUUAUGGUGUAAUCUUUAAAGCGAAAUAUGUGGUUAUUUUUCGAUUUAACAGCUAUUCCGUGUAUUGCAUUGUAGUUAGAAUAAUAAAUACUUCUCUCAAUUAAACUUGAACUGGCUACUUACGGACUGAAAAAAAUGUUACAUUAGAAUUUUUCACCAUCGUUGAAAUAUUUGAUAAUUAUGUGUAUAGCAAUGUCAUGAGUUACAAAACGGGUAGUUAAUUUUUGACAUUAAAUUAUUAUAGAACAGUUUAUCAGAAUUGAAUCUUCCAUUGAAUAAGUUAUGUUGUAUGUAAUACAUAUUCUGAAAGGCCGUAAAUGAACUUCAUACAAUUUAUAUAUGCAAUACAAUAAAUAUAAUGUUUGGAUGAAGCAAUAAUUUGUGUUGGCUUAAAUUGGCGACUGGAACAGAAACAUAUUUGUCGUGUAAAUAAACAAAAUAAUCAACCAAUGACGUUACACAUCAUGUUAUGUGGUCUUAUUAUACCGUUAGUUUACCCGUUUUAAUGGUUUUACACUAGUAAUGUUGGGGCCCCAGUCGCGCGAGUUGUCUACAUAAUACUCAUCAUUGAAGUUAAGAUCAAAAUAGAUCAGUAAUGUAGUUAGUAAGCUGAAAAAUGCUGACAUUAAAAGGUCAAGGAAAAACAUCGGAACACUAAACGUUGAAGAAAUAAUUGCACACAUCAUAACAUUGAACUAGUCAUAAUCUUAAUAUAAUACGUAGUUGGAAUUCAAUUUUCAAACAAAAAGGUUGUUUGAAUGUUCCUAAGUACUUUUUCUUUUUAGCAUCGAUGAUUGCGACAAGUGCACGGGGUAAGUACUUAAAUAUGAAUCCAAAAUGUUUGGCGCCACUGAAAUAAAAAAAAAGUAAAUAUAUGACUAAGAUUUGAUGGUCCUAUAGUAAAAAAAAAUUAAUUACAGGGUUAACCAUUUUCCAAAAUACCCAUUUCGAAGAGGUGCAGUGAAUCUGUAAUAAUAAGAAAAGUAGCUCAAUAUGAAAUUUGCUUUCACAUGUUUCUUGGAGAAUCAAAUUUUGAAACAUGACCACGACUUACCCAAUAUUAAUUACGGAAUAUUGUCACGGUGGCUACAACCAACAUUUGACAAGUUUAUUGAUCGAGAGUUUAUUCAAUAAAACAAUGCAAUAAAAAAAGAAACAGAAAAGUUAAAAACAUGCGUUCAAGAUAUAAAAUAUGUGAUAACAAAAAAAUAAAACAAACAUAUUAAUAAAGCAAAUUAAAUAGAAGUGGAUUAAAAAAACCUAAAAUUAUGGGAAUUAUAAACACACAAAAAAAGUAAAUUCAUAUGUUAACUUUUUUUUAUAUUACGAUCUAAAUACAAAUACAUUUAACAGAGAAAAUAAAAAUUUACAGCAUCAUUUCAUUUUAUAAAAAGAGUAUAUGUAUGUAUUACAGAUGUAUGGCCUUUGUCAAAGAAGUUUAAAAGGAGUGUAUGCAACAUAUCAACCUUUUGUCAACAAUGAUCUAAUGAUGUUUUAACUAGUUUUGUUACUGAUUAGGAUAUCAUAAUUCCAAUGACAACGAACACAUAUUUUAGUAUUUGUAACUUUUAAUUGUAUGUUGAAUAUGAUAGUUGUUUUCCAUUUGAUCCGUUUGUCAUGUUUUUUUUUAUCAAUAUACCUUUAACUUGUUAUUUAUGUUGUACUGUUUUUUUUGUAUAUUAAAAAAAACAUGUAGUACUAUAAUAGAAAAACUUCGUUUUUUUACUAUAGUACCUUUAAUAAGCAUGUAUGUUUAUAAUUGAUGUAGAGUUUGAAUUAAAAAAA